GAACCUCGGAUCAGGUAGGGAUACCCGCG
rnacentral:rRNA from 1 species